UGCAUGUCUCAGUAUAAGCUUUUAUACGGGUAAACCGCCAAUGGCUCAUUAAAACAGUUAUUCUUUAUUUGAUAUGGUCGCAAGGUUGAAGCUUAAAUGAAUUGACCGAAAGUCACCUCCCCCAAUGGAGCCUGCUGCUUAAUUUGACUGCAACACCGGUAAACUUACCCGGUCCAGACAUAAUAAGGAUUGACCCAUUGAUAACUCUUUCUUGAUUCAAUGGGUGGUGGUGCAUGGCCGUUCUUACUUGGAGGAGUGAUUUGUCUGGUUAAUUCCGUUAACCAACGACACCUUAACCUGCUAAAUAAUUGCUCCUAACUUCAGUUACAUGGGCAACUUCUUAUAGGGACUUUGCUUGUCUAACACAAGGAAGUUUGAGGCAAUAACAGGUCGGUGAUGCCCUUAGAUGUUCUGGGCUGCACGCGCACUACACUGAUGCUCUCAACUAGUUUACGACCUUGCCCGGAAAGGUUGGGUAAUCUUCGUAAACCACAUCGUGAUGGGGAGAGAUUAUUGCCAUUAUUAA
rnacentral:rRNA from 1 species